CACAAAAUGAAGCUAUAGCAAAAGCUCAAACUCAGCAGAAACACAGAAAAUCUCUAAACGCUUCUUCUUUCUUAAACCCCUUUGGCCCUUUAUGAGUUCCCGGCUUGGUUAAUUUCAGCAACCUUCAGCUCUCUUUAACAAACUUCAGAAUAUCAUCGGCGAUCCCCAUCUCAAACUCUUCAAACAAAACCCAUCAAAUUCCUCACGAAGUAGAUAUUUUUUCUGGGUUUUUCUUCUGCGAUCAGAGUGGCUUAAUUAACGUCUGUAAAGACAGUAAAGUUAAUUGGCAGUUUCAAAACGAUCAUCGGCCGACGGAUCUGAACUGCGAAGACCUCAGUUGGUUUAAGUCAACGGCUUUGAAGCCGAGCAAGCUUUCAAAUGGGUUACUAGGGCCCAAAUCCACUGCCUGUGCUCGAGAUCCUGCCCCAGUUGUCGACCCAAAAGCCCAAAUGCUCAGAGAUGUAUGGGUGAAUUAACAAGCUGCUUUGUUUUGACAAAAGACAUCACUGGAGAAGUCAUGGACAUGGACUAAUAGAGAAAGACCAUUGAAAAAAGCAUGUGCAUCUGCAAAAGGCAGUGGCGCCGUCUCUGUUUCAGGGCAGAGUACCGUCUUAGCAUUUCUACGAUUUUGGAAUCAAAACAAGCAGAAGCGUUUAUGGGCUCAUUCAAACAGUGAAUCACCAUGCGGCCUCUGUUUCUUCAUGGUGAAGGAGGGGAUUAAAUCAAUUGGGCAUCCUUAUUUUGUAGUUAUCCAAAAGCACAAACUGAAGCAAUCAAUAAGCAAGAACAAUCACAAGAAGACUAAAAAAUGCAGAGAUCAAGUAUGGUAACAAACCCAGAGAAAAAUAAAGCGAUCAAUUCAAUAUAUAUCAAAUCCAACUCGUACAUGAUCGAUAAGGAGAGCUACAAGAGCAAGAAAAAAACUUGGAACACAUAUUGAGAUCACGGAAAUGGAUCCUUACACUUGUGGGUAUUUUUCAUUGUGGUGUUGUUGGAUUUGCAGGCACCACCAGAAGAGCAUAGAGAAGCCAUAAACUGGACUAAGCGAUCAAACAUCAUUCGCUUCACAAGUUUCCUCCUUGGGGGGAUCACACUUGCCUUCUUCGCCUUGAACAACGGGGGAAUCCUAGCCGCCAUUCUGGAUCCUCCAUUGGCCCGUACCGUUUCUGCACCCGGGUUCACCUUCACUGCCAUCUCAGGCCAGCUGCCACUUUCUUGUUUGAGUAGAGUGUUUUCUUUUUUCACUUCCAAAAUAGAUAUCCACUCCUCUAUGGGUGUAAAAAUAUUAGGAAUUCUGAAUUUAUUUUAUUUGUUUAGAGAAAUUUGGCCAAUGAGAGGAAAGCUUGUGAGCCAAGCAUUUAUAUAAUUACUAAAAGGCCACAUUAUUUCAAAUGACACGCUUUUAAUUACUAA